rnacentral:tRNA from 1 species
GAGGGUAUAGCUCAGUGGUAGAGUGCAUGCUUAGCAUGCACGAGGUCCUGGGUUCAGUCCCCAGUAACCCCU